ACUCCUACGGGAGGCAGCAGUGGGGAAUAUUGCACAAUGGGCGCAAGCCUGAUGCAGCCAUGCCGCGUGUAUGAAGAAGGCCUUCGGGUUGUAAAGUACUUUCAGCAGUGAGGAAGGUGGGUAUGUUAAUAGCAUAUUCAUUUGACGUUAGCUGCAGAAGAAGCACCGGCUAACUCCGUGCCAGCAGCCGCGGUAAUACGGAGGGUGCGAGCGUUAAUCGGAAUUACUGGGCGUAAAGCGCAUGCAGGUGGUUUGUUAAGUCAGAUGUGAAAGCCCGGGGCUCAACCUCGGAAUUGCAUUUGAAACUGGCAAACUAGAGUACUGUAGAGGGGGGUAGAAUUUCAGGUGUAGCGGUGAAAUGCGUAGAGAUCUGAAGGAAUACCGGUGGCGAAGGCGGCCCCCUGGACAGAUACUGACACUCAGAUGCGAAAGCGUGGGGAGCAAACAGGAUUAGAUACCCUGGUAGACUCUGC
rnacentral:rRNA from 1 species